rnacentral:lncRNA from 1 species
GUACAUAUAAAAUACUAUUAAUUAUAUGAUUACUUAUAUGAUGGUACGUAUAAAAUACGAUUAAUUAUAUGAUGACAAUAUACGGUAUAUAAUAAUAACUAGGGAUGGGCUUUCGGGUACCCAUAUGGGUUUGGUUCUGAUCGGUUUGCGUUUCGGGUUUUCGGGAUCAAAGAUUUCAGUUCUAUUUUGGUUUGAGUUGGAUUCGGAUAUUUGCGGGUAUGGAUAACUCAUUUAAAUUAUUUUUAAAGUUUUAAAUCAUUAUAUAUUUUAAAUUUCUCAAAAUCUAUAAAUAAAAUAAUAUAUUACCUAUAAAUUUGAAUAACAUAUGUCAUAAUACCUAAACUUACCAUAUCAAUUGGUUUGAUUUAAAAUUUUGGAUAUGGAAUCAAUAAUUAUUUUAAGUAUUUUUGGUGAUUUGAGUAUACUUUA